UUUGCUUUCUUUGCUGGCGACCGGCGCACGGGUGAGUAACACGUAUCCAACCUGCCCUUUACUCGGGGAUAGCCUUUCGAAAGAAAGAUUAAUACCCGAUGGCAUAAUGAUUCCGCAUGGUUUCAUUAUUGAAGGAUUCCGGUAAAGGAUGGGGAUGCGUUCCAUUAGGUUGUUGGUGAGGUAACGGCUCACCAAGCCUUCGAUGGAUAGGGGUUCUGAGAGGAAGGUCCCCCACAUUGGAACUGAGACACGGUCCAAACUCCUACGGGAGGCAGCAGUGAGGAAUAUUGGUCAAUGGGCGCUAGCCUGAACCAGCCAAGUAGCGUGAAGGAUGAAGGCUCUAUGGGUCGUAAACUUCUUUUAUAUAAGAAUAAAGUGCAGUAUGUAUACUGUUUUGUACGUAUUAUAUGAAUAAGGAUCGGCUAACUCCGUGCCAGCAGCCGCGGUAAUACGGAGGAUCCGAGCGUUAUCCGGAUUUAUUGGGUUUAAAGGGAGCGUAGGUGGACUGGUAAGUCAGUUGUGAAAGUUUGCGGCUCAACCGUAAAAUUGCAGUUGAUACUGUCAGUCUUGAGUACAGUAGAGGUGGGCGGAAUUCGUGGUGUAGCGGUGAAAUGCUUAGAUAUCACGAAGAACUCCGAUUGCGAAGGCAGCUCACUGGACUGCAACUGACACUGAUGCUCGAAAGUGUGGGUAUCAAACAGGAUUAGAUACCCUGGUAGUCCACACAGUAAACGAUGAAUACUUGCUGUUUGCGAUAUACAGUAAGCGGCCAAGCGAAAGCAUUAAGUAUUCCACCUGGGGAGUACGCCGGCAACGGUGAAACUCAAAGGAAUUGACGGGGGCCCGCACAAGCGGAGGAACAUGUGGUUUAAUUCGAUGAUACGCGAGGAACCUUACCCGGGCUUAAAUUGCAGUGGAAUGAUGUGGAAACAUGUCAGUGAGCAAUCACCGCUGUGAAGGUGCUGCAUGGUUGUCGUCAGCUCGUGCCGUGAGGUGUUGGCUUAAGUGCCAUAACGAGCGCAACCCUUAUCUUUAGUUACUAACAGGUUAUGCUGAGGACUCUAGAGAGACUGCCGUCGUAAGAUGUGAGGAAGGUGGGGAUGACGUCAAAUCAGCACGGCCCUUACGUCCGGGGCUACACACGUGUUACAAUGGGGGGUACAGAAGGCAGCUAGCGGGUGACCGUAUGCUAAUCCCAAAAGCCUCUCUCAGUUCGGAUCGAAGUCUGCAACCCGACUUCGUGAAGCUGGAUUCGCUAGUAAUCGCGCAUCAGCCACGGCGCGGUGAAUACGUUCCCGGGCCUUGUACACACCGCCCGUCAAGCCAUGGGAGCCGGGGGUACCUGAAGUACGUAACCGCAAGGAUCGUCCUAGGGUAAAACUGGUGACUGGG
rnacentral:rRNA from 1 species